rnacentral:lncRNA from 1 species
UGCAAGUAUCCGAUCUCUAUGGGUAUCUACUCAGGAUCAAUCUGGAAUAAUCUUUUUUGGCGUUGAUCCUUUUUCUCUAAGAACAAUCAGCCUACAAAUCUAAACGAAGCCUAAAUUAUGAUCAACUUUUUGAUCCUUUUCUUAAUCUUUCCUUUUCUUCAUUGCUUGCUCUUUUAUCUUUGAUUAUAAAGCAAUCAAGGCCUAGAAAUUAGCAAGCAAGCAGACACCCAAGCUCCUCUUGGGCAUGGAGAUAUAUG